GACUCUUGGCGAUGGAUAUCUCGGCUCUCGCAUUGAUGAAGAACGUAGUGAAAUGCGAUACUUGGUGUUUAUUUCAGAAUCCCAUGAAUCAUCGAGUCUUUAAACAUAAAUUGCACCCGAAACUAUUAGGCUGAGGGCACGUCUGCCUGGGCGUCA